UACCAUGGGAUGAUCACCAAGAAC
rnacentral:piRNA from 1 species